UACGGGGGGGGCAAGCGUUGUUCGGAAUUACUGGGCGUAAAGGGCUCGUAGGCGGCCAACUAAGUCGGACGUGAAAUCCCCAGGCUCAACCUGGGAACUGCGUCCGAUACUGGAUGGCUUGAAUCCGGGAGAGGGAUGCAGAAUUCCAGGUGUAGCGGUGAAAUGCGUAGAUAUCAGGAGGAACACCGGUGGUGUAGACGGCUCUCUGGACCGUAACUGACGCUGAGACACGAAAGCGUGGGUAGCAAACAGG
rnacentral:rRNA from 1 species